UACAGGGGGUGCAAACGUUGCUCGGAAUUAUUGGGCGUAAAGCGCACGUAGGCGGUUUGUUAAGUCGGAUGUGAAAUCCCUCGGCUCAACUGAGGAAGUGCACCCGAAACUGGCAGGCUUGAGUACUAAAGAGGGUCGCGGAAUUCCCGGUGUAGAGGUGAAAUGCGUAGAGAUCGGGAGGAACACCCGUGGCGCAGGCGGCCCCCUGGCCGGGCCUGACGCUGAGACGCGAAAGCGUGGGGAGCGAACGGG
rnacentral:rRNA from 1 species